UGAGCAAUCUGCCCUUCUCUUCGGAAUAAGCGUUGGAAACGACGUCUAAUGCCGAAUACGACCUCCUUUCACAUGAUCGGAGGUGGAAAGCUCCGGCGGAGAAGGAUGAGCUCGCGGCCUAUCAGCUAGUUGGUGUGGGUAACGGCCCAUCAAGGCGACGACGGGUAGCCGGCCUGAGAGGGUGACCGGCCACACUGGGACUGAGACACGGCCCAGACUCCUACGGGAGGCAGCG
rnacentral:rRNA from 1 species